rnacentral:rRNA from 1 species
UACGAAGGGGGCUAGCGUUGUUCGGAAUUACUGGGCGUAAAGCGCACGUAGGCGGAUUGGCAAGUCAGGGGUGAAAUCCCGGGGCUCAACCUCGGAACUGCCUCUGAUACUGCCAGUCUAGAGUCCGGAAGAGGUGGGUGGAAUUCCUAGUGUAGAGGUGAAAUUCGCAGAUAUUAGGAAGAACACCGGUGGCGAAGGCGGCCCACUGGUCCGG